AGAGGAUGUAUGGAAACACCUGGAUGCCU
rnacentral:piRNA from 1 species